AGGCUUCUUCUUCUUUUUCUUUUUCUUUAAAGUUUGCUCUUAUAAUUGCUUGACGUGGCUAGAGUUUAGAAAGACACCAAACUAGUUUACCUUUUGGCUAUUCAAACAUUGUUCUUAUCUGAACUUGUAAAGGGAGGGUGCUGGAGCUUUUAGGAGUGGGUAGAGAACUUGCUUUGGACAGGAAAUUAGGUCGGAGAAGAGAAUAAACGAUAAGAAUUGAGUUUGGUUUGGGUAUUGACGAAACUAUGGGGAGAUCAAUAUUUUUGGUUUCUCAACGGAUUUUGAAGGACCUAUUUUGUGGUUAGAGGACCUAUUUUGUACCAGGUGAAAGUCUUACCAAAAGAAGCUACCAACUAGAUUGCAAGCAUGCUGAUAUCACUGGAGGAAAAAUUUAGAAAGUAAAGUUCCAGAUAUUGCAAAAUCUGGAUUUACAUCGGCAUGGUUGCCGCCAUCAACUCAUUCCUUUGCCCCAGAAGGUUACCUCCUUCAGAACAUAUAUUCCCUCAAUUCUAAAUAUGGAUCUGAGCGCCAAUUAAGAGGUUUACUAAAAAAAAUUGGGUUACCUCCCUCAGAACAUAUAUUCCAUCAAAUUGGGUUUAUUUAUUUACAGCUUACUCUGUUUUGUGUUUCCGAAUAUUCAAUUAGUUAUGCAACUAAAUAUGUGAAGGAGUAUAUUGAAGGAGCAAAACCAAUUUUUUCCGCUGGGGAGUAUUGAGAUUCUUGCAACUACAAUGGUCAUGGUUUGGACUACAACCAAGGAAGCUGUCAAGGGACAAUUAUGGAGCUUACGUGAUCCCCAGGGGAAGCCACCAGGUGUAAUGCAGUAGUACAACUAGCUAGUUCCUAUAUUUAACUUGUGUCUAGUAGAAAUUCUUCCUUCAUUAAGUAUUUGGACUUGUCUGCAGAUUCAGAUUAGUAGAUAUGGGCCAUUUUGAACUAAUGCUCAUGAUUAGGUUUGUGUACAUGAGACAAUGGUGGAUUGGUGAAAAUUGCAAUGAAUGAUUUUGGAUGUGUAUUUUAUGGUUUUAUGAAUGGACAA